AUACGGAGGGGACAAGCGUUAUUCGGAAUCACUGGGCGUAAAGGACGCGUAGGCGGGUUAUUAAGUCGGGUGUGAAAUCCUACAGCUCAACUGUAGAACUGCAUUCGAAACUGAUAACCUAGAGUAUGGAAGGGGCAGGUGGAAUUAGUGGUGUAGGGGUAAAAUCCGUAGAUAUCACUAGGAAUACCGAAAGCGAAGGCGACCUGCUGGGACAUUACUGACGCUGAGGCGUGAAAGCGUGGGGAGCAAACAGGAUUAGAAACCCCUGUAGUCC
rnacentral:rRNA from 1 species